rnacentral:rRNA from 1 species
UCUUGACAUACUAUGCAAAUCUAAGAGAUUAGACGUUCCCUUCGGGGACAUGGAUACAGGUGGUGCAUGGUUGUCGUCAGCUCGUGUCGUGAGAUGUUGGGUUAAGUCCCGCAACGAGCGCAACCCUUAUUAUCAGUUGCCAGCAUUAAGUUGGGCACUCUGGUGAGACUGCCGGUGACAAACCGGAGGAAGGUGGGGAUGACGUCAAAUCAUCAUGCCCCUUAUGACCUGGGCUACACACGUGCUACAAUGGAUGGUACAACGAGUUGCGAACUCGCGAGAGUAAGCUAAUCUCUUAAAGCCAUUCUCAGUUCGGAUUGUAGGCUGCAACUCGCCUACAUGAAGUCGGAAUCGCUAGUAAUCGCGGAUCAGCAUGCCGCGGUGAAUACGUUCCCGGGCCUUGUACACACCGCCCGUCACACCAUGAGAGUUUGUAACACCCAAAGUCGGU